UUGGUUGAGAGUCAAGUGAACUUAUUGUUCAGUGGUCUGGGGAAAUGCAUCAUCUAGUGAAGUUAGGAGGCUGCAGAAUGCACAGAAUAAAGCUGCAAGGGUUGUUUUAAGGUGGAGAUAUGGUUCUUCUGUUGCAGUCAUGGGUUGUUUUAAGGUGGAGAUAUGGUUCUUCUAGUUGUAGUCAUGGGUUGUUUUAAGGUGGAGAUAUGGUUCUUCUGUUGCAGUCAUGGGUUGUUUUAAGGUGGAGAUAUGGUUCUUCUGUUGCAGUCAUGGGUUGUUUUAAGGUGGAGAUAUGGUUCUUCUGUUGCAGUCAUGGGUUGUUUUAAGGUGGAGAUAUGGUUCUUCUUGUUGCAGUCAUGGGUUGUUUUAAGGUGGAGAUGUGGUUCUUCUGUUGCAGUCAUGGGUUGUUUUAAGGUGGAGAUAUGGUUCUUCUGUUGCAGUCAUGGGUUGUUUUAAGGUGGAGAUAUGGUUCUUCUGUUGUAGUCAUGGGUUGUUUUAAGGUGGAGAUAUGGUUCUUCUUGUUGCAGUCAUGGGUUGUUUUAAGGUGGAGAUAUGGUUCUUCUGUUGUA